rnacentral:rRNA from 1 species
UACGAAGGGGGCUAGCGUUGUUCGGAAUUACUGGGCGUAAAGCGCGUGUAGGUGGCGAUGUAAGUCGGGUGUGAAAUCCCUCGGCUCAACCGAGGAAGUGCACUCGAUACUGUGUCGCUUGAGUGUUGGAGGGGAUGGCGGAAUUCCCGGUGUAGAGGUGAAAUUCGUAGAUAUCGGGAGGAACACCUGUGGCGAAGGCGGCCAUCUGGACAACUACUGACACUGAGACGCGAAAGCGUGGGUAGCAAACAGG